rnacentral:pre_miRNA from 1 species
AUUACUGGGAAAUCUUGUUAAAAUGUAGAUUUUUCAUUAGGUAUGGGCCUAAGAUUCUGCAUUUCUAGCAAGCUCUCAGGUGAUGCUGA